AGAGGUAUAGUUUUAUUGGCUGCUAACUAAUAUAUAGCGGUUUACCCGUUUAUCUCUU
rnacentral:tRNA from 1 species